rnacentral:rRNA from 1 species
GACGAACGCUGGCGGCGUGCCUAAUACAUGCAAGUAGAACGCUGAAGAGAGGAGCUUGCUCUUCUUGGAUGAGUUGCGAACGGGUGAGUAACGCGUAGGUAACCUGCCUGGUAGCGGGGGAUAACUAUUGGAAACGAUAGCUAAUACCGCAUGAUAUUAAUUAUCGCAUGAUAAUUGAUUGAAAGAUGCAAUUGCAUCACUACCAGAUGGACCUGCGUUGUAUUAGCUAGUUGGUGAGGUAACGGCUCACCAAGGCGACGAUACAUAGCCGACCUGAGAGGGUGAUCGGCCACACUGGGACUGAGACACGGCCCAGACUCCUACGGGAGGCAGCAGUAGGGAAUCUUCGGCAAUGGGGGGAACCCUGACCGAGCAACGCCGCGUGAGUGAAGAAGGUUUUCGGAUCGUAAAGCUCUGUUGUAAGAGGAGAACGGGUGUGAGAGUGGAAAGUCACACUG